rnacentral:rRNA from 1 species
UACGAAGGGGGCUAGCGUUGUUCGGAAUUACUGGGCGUAAAGGGCGCGUAGGCGGUGUGUCAAGUCAGGCGUGAAAGCCCCGGGCUCAACCUGGGAACAGCGCUUGAGACUGGCACGCUCGAGUUCGGGAGAGGAUGGUGGAAUUCCCAGUGUAGAGGUGAAAUUCGUAGAUAUGGGGAGGAACACCGGUGGCGAAGGCGGCCAUCUGGACGGCUAUUGACGCUGAGACGCGAAAGCAUGGGGAGCGAACCGG